GAGUAACACGUGAGUAACCUGCCCCAGACUCUGGAAUAACCCCGGGAAACCGGAGCUAAUACCGGAUACGAAACGGAGCCGCAUGGCUACUGUUUGGAAAGUUUUUCGGUCUGGGAUGGACUCGCGGCCUAUCAGCUUGUUGGUGAGGUAAUGGCUCACCAAGGCGACGACGGGUAGCCGGCCUGAGAGGGCGACCGGCCACACUGGGACUGAGACACUGCCCAGACUCCUACGGGAGGCAGCAGUGGGGAAUAUUGCACAAUGGGCGAAAGCCUGAUGCAGCGACGCCGCGUGAGGGAUGACGGCCUUCGGGUUGUAAACCUCUUUCAACAGGGAAGAAGCGAAAGUGACGGUACCUGCAGAAGAAGCACCGGCUAACUACGUGCCAGCAGCCGCGGUAAUACGUAGGGUGCGAGCGUUGUCCGGAAUUAUUGGGCGUAAAGAGCUUGUAGGCGGUUUGUCGCGUCUGCUGUGAAAUUUCGGGGCUCAACCCCGAACUUGCAGUGGGUACGGGCAGACUAGAGUGUGGUAGGGGAGACUGGAAUUCCUGGUGUAGCGGUGAAAUGCGCAGAUAUCAGGAGGAACACCGAUGGCGAAGGCAGGUCUCUGGGCCACUACUGACGCUGAGAAGCGAAAGCAUGGGGAGCGAACAGGAUUAGAUACCCUGGUAGUCCAUGCCGUAAACGUUGGGAACUAGGUGUGGGUCUCAUUCCACGAGAUCCGUGCCGCAGCUAACGCAUUAAGUUCCCCGCCUGGGGAGUACGGCCGCAAGGCUAAAACUCAAAGGAAUUGACGGGGGCCCGCACA
rnacentral:rRNA from 1 species